CCAUCUGCCACCCUACACUCUCAAUCCCUAAGUAAAACGGAUUCUCUGGGGAGACGCAGCACAUCGCCUGGCUCUGCAGCCCCCACCACAUUGUAGCGUACACCCGUGGAGGAGUUUGGGGUCACACACUUACCGGCAUGGUGGCUGCCUGGCUGAGCCCGGGGACAGCAUGUACUCAUCCGAAGAGGGGACCCAUGACCGUGGUGUGCACAGUACAAGAGCUCGCUUGGGAUCUCUGAUAAAGGAAGUCCACCAUGCAGGGUUGAGCUGAACCACAGAAGCCCAGCCUGGGAGCAGGGCUCCAGGACUCCCCAAGGAUCAGAAACCUCAAUGAUAAAUUUCCGACUGGAUGAUACACACUACACCUGUUCUUCAGCGAUGAUGUAUGGUGUGUCUAACAUCUGCCUAUUAGCAGCUGAAUUCCCUUCUAUGACGUGAUACAUAAUGUAUGGUGUGACACAGCUGGGUAAUAAACAAUGUCAGCUGCGUCCUA
rnacentral:lncRNA from 1 species